GAUGAACGCUGGCGGCGUGCCUAAUACAUGCAAGUCGAGCGAACAGACGAGGAGCUUGCUCCUCUGACGUUAGCGGCGGACGGGUGAGUAACACGUGGAUAACCUACCUAUAAGACUGGGAUAACUUCGGGACACCGGAGCUAAUACCGGAUAAUAUAUUGAACCGCAUGGUUCAAUAGUGAAAGACGGUUUUGCUGUCACUUCUCGAUGGAUCCGCGCCGCAUUAGCUAGUUGGUAAGGUAACGGCUUACGAAGGCGACGAUGCGUAGCCGACCUGAGAGGGUGAUCGGCCACCCUGGAACUGAGACCCGGUCCAGUCUCCUACGGGAGGCAGCAGGAGGGAUUCGGCCGCAAGGGGCGAAAGCCUGACGGAGCAACGCCGCGUGAGUGAUGAAGGUCUUCGGAUCGUAAAACUCUGUUAUUAGGGAAGAACAAAUGUGUAAGUAACUAUGCACGUCUUGACGGUACCUAAUCAGAAAGCCACGGCUAACUACGUG
rnacentral:rRNA from 1 species